GAUGAACGCUAGCGGAAGGCUUAAUACAUGCAAGUCGAGCGGCAAGGUCUUCGGACCCUAGAGCGGCGCACGGGUGAGUAACGCGUACGCAAUCUGCCCUUCAGUGAGGAAUAGCCCUGGGAAACUGGGAUUAAUACCUCAUAAUAUUAUUUGUCUGCAUGGAUGAAUAAUUAAAGUUCUGGCGCUGAAGGAUGAGCGUGCGUCUGAUUAGCUAGUUGGUAGGGUAACGGCCUACCAAGGCUACGAUCAGUAGGGGGCUGAGAGCGUGACCCCCCCACACGGGUACUGAGACACGGACCCGACUCCUACGGGAGGCAGCAGUAAGGAAUAUUGGGCAAUGGAGGCAACUCUGACCCAGCCAUCCCGCGUGAAGGAUUAAGGCCCUAUGGGUUGUAAACUUCUUUUGUUUGGGAAGAAAUCAGGACAUUUAUGUGCUGUUGACGGUACCUUACGAAUAAGCACCGGCUAACUACGUGCCAGCAGCCGCGGUAAAGUCGUCAU
rnacentral:rRNA from 1 species